rnacentral:rRNA from 1 species
AACGAACGCUGGCGGCAUGCCUAACACAUGCAAGUCGAACGAGACCUUCGGGUCUAGUGGCGCACGGGUGCGUAACGCGUGGGAACCUGCCCUUAGGUUCGGAAUAACUCCCCGAAAGGGGUGCUAAUACCGGAUAAUGUCUUCGGACCAAAGAUUUAUCGCCUUUGGAUGGGCCCGCGUUGGAUUAGCUAGUUGGUAGGGUAAAAGCCUACCAAGGGGACGAUCCAUAGCUGGUCUGAGAGGAUGAUCAGCCACACUGGGACUGAGACACGGCCCAGACUCCUACGGGAGGCAGCAGUGCGGAAUAUUGGACAAUGGGCGAAGGCCUGAUCCAGCAAUGCCGCGUGAGUGAUGAAGGCCUUAGGGUUGUAAAGCUCUUUUACCCGGGAUGAUAAUGACAGUACCGGGAGAAUAAGCUCCGGCUAACUCCGUG